rnacentral:tRNA from 1 species
GCCGGAGUGGCCGAGCGGUUCAAGGCGCUGCAGUCUGGAAAGCUGCGGUCGCAGGUUCGAAUCCUGCCUCGGGCA